rnacentral:rRNA from 1 species
AGGGUUUGAUCAUGGCUCAGAACGUACGCUGGCGGCACGCCUAACACAUGCAAGUCGAACGAAGUAGCAAUACUUAGUGGCAAACGGGUGAGUAACAUGUGGGUAUCUGCCCUUCGGCCUGGAAUAACAUGAGGAAACUUGUGCUAAUACCAGAUAAGUCUUUUAAGAGAAAGCUUUAUGCACCGAUGGAUGAGCCCGCACCUGAUUAGUUAGUUGGUGAGGUAAUUGCUCACCAAGACAAUGAUCAGUAGCUGAUUUGAGAGGAUGAUCAGCCACAUUGGGACUGAGACACGGCCCAAACUCCUACGGGAGGCAGCAGUGGGGAAUCUUGCACAAUGGGGGAAACCCUGAUGCAGCGAUGCCGUGGGAGUGAAGAAGGCCUUUGGGUUGUAAAGCUCUUUCGUCGGGGAAGAAAAUGACUGUACCCGAAUAAGAAGGUCCGGCUAACUUCGUGCCAGCAGCCGCGGUAAUACGAAGGGACCUAGCGUAGUUCGGAAUUACUGGGCUUAAAGAGUUCGUAGGUGGUUAAAAUAGUUGGUGGUGAAAUCCCAGAGCUUAACUCUGGAACUGCCAUCAAAACUUUUUAGCUAGAGUAUGAUAGAGGA